GAUGAAGAACGUAGCGAAAUGCGAUAAGUAAUGUGAAUUGCAGAAUUCAGUGAAUCAUCGAAUCUUUGAACGCACAUUGCGCCCGCCAGCACUCUGGCGGGCAGGCCUGUCCGAGCGUCAUUUCAACCCUCGCGCCGUCCCUCCAGGGGGCUCGGCGCGGUGUUGGGGGACACGGCCCCGGCCGCCCCCGAAAUGCAGUGGCGACCCCGCCGCGGCCCCUCCAGCGCAGUAAGCACGCUCGCUACGGGAGGCCCGGUGGACGCGUCCGCCGUAAAACGCCCAACUCUUCAGAAGUUGACCUCGGAUCAGGUAGGGAUACCCGCUGAACUUAAGCAUAUCAAUAAGCGGAGGA
rnacentral:misc_RNA from 1 species